AGAGUCGCCCGGAUCACCGCGUUACGAAAGUACCGAGGAAAGUCCGGACUUCACAGAGCAAGGUGGUGGGUAACGCCCACCCGGAGAAAUCCGCGGGAUUAGUGCCACAGAAAAUAGACCGCACAUGAAAAUGUGUAAGGGUGAAACGGUGGUGUAAGAGAC
rnacentral:RNase_P_RNA from 1 species